rnacentral:rRNA from 1 species
UAGUGGCGAACGGGUGAGUAACACGUGGGCAAUCUGCCCUUCACUCUGGGACAAGCCCUGGAAACGGGGUCUAAUACCGGAUAAUACCUGCCUGGGCAUCUGGGUGGGUUGAAAGCUCCGGCGGUGAAGGAUGAGCCCGCGGCCUAUCAGCUUGUUGGUGAGGUAGUGGCUCACCAAGGCGACGACGGGUAGCCGGCCUGAGAGGGCGACCGGCCACACUGGGACUGAGACACGGCCCAGACUCCUACGGGAGGCAGCAGUGGGGAAUAUUGCACAAUGGGCGAAAGCCUGAUGCAGCGACGCCGCGUGAGGGAUGACGGCCUUCGGGUUGUAAACCUCUUUCAGCAGGGAAGAAGCGAAAGUGACGGUACCUGCAGAAGAAGCGCCGGCUAACUACGUGCCAGCAGCCGCGGUAAUACGUAGGGCGCAAGCGUUGUCCGGAAUUAUUGGGCGUAAAGAGCUCGUAGA